rnacentral:rRNA from 1 species
AACGAACGCUGGCGGCAGGCUUAACACAUGCAAGUCGAACGCCCCGCAAGGGGAGUGGCAGACGGGUGAGUAACGCGUGGGAACAUACCCUUUUCUACGGAAUAGCUCUGGGAAACUGGAAUUAAUACCGUAUACGCCCUACGGGGAAAGAUUUAUCGGGGAAGGAUUGGCCCGGGUUGGAUUAGCUAGUUGGUGGGGUAAAGGCCUACCAAGGCGACGAUCAAUAGCUGGUCUGAGAGGAUGAUCAGCCACAUUGGGACUGAGACACGGCCCAAACUCCUACGGGAGGCGGCAGUGGGGAAUAUUGGACAAUGGGCGCAAGCCUGAUCCAGCCAUGCCGCGUGAGUGAUGAAGGCCUUAGGGUUGUAAAGCUCUUUCACCGAUGAAGAUAAUGACGGUAGUCGGAGAAGAAGCCCCGGCUAACUUCGUGCCAGCCGCCGCAGUAAGAC